rnacentral:rRNA from 1 species
GAUGAACGCUGGCGGCGUGCCUAAUACAUGCAAGUCGAGCGAACGGACGAGAAGCUUGCUUCUCUGAUGUUAGCGGCGGACGGGUGAGUAACACGUGGAUAACCUACCUAUAAGACUGGGAUAACUUCGGGAAACCGGAGCUAAUACCGGAUGAUAUUUUGAACCGCAUGGUUCAAAAGUGAAAGACGGUCUUGCUGUCACUUAUAGAUGGAUCCGCGCUGCAUUAGCUAGUUGGUAAGGUAACGGCUUAACAAGGCAACGAUGCAUAGCCGACCUGAGAGGGUGAUCCGCCACACUGGAAAUGAGACACGGUCCCGACUCCUACGGGGGGGAGCAGGUGGGAAUAUUUCCCAAUGGGGGCAAGCCUGAACCAGGCAAAGCGCGUGGGUGAAGAAGGGCUUCGGGUUGGAAAACCCUUUUUUUGGGGAAAAAAAGAAGGUGGAAAAAACCGCGCUAUUCUGAAGGGACCCAAAUAAAAAACCCCGGCUAAAUUCGUG